AUGACUCCGCACAUCAGCACCUUCAGCAUCUUUGUGUUCUGUGUUGCAGGUGUUUCUGAGAGUGUUCUGAUCACUCAGUGGCCUCGACAGAUCCUCAGUCCGCACAGCCGCUCAGCACAAAUUAACUGCUACCAGAACAACACCGACUAUCAGUAUCUGUACUGGUACAAGCAGGCGAGGGGAGAAGGCUUCCAGAUGAUCGCCUCUGUGAUAUCAGGCAUACCAGACUACACAGAUGGGUUCAAAGGUCGUUUUCAUGCGGCGAAAGUUAACGAUAAGCAGGCUUCUCUGACAAUUUCGAGCAUGAAGGAAGGAGAUGAGGCUCUUUAUCUGUGUGCUGCCAGACUGCACGGUGCUCUGGCAAACCUCAGGGCUGUGACAAAAACACACAGCCAAGAGGCUACCGGUUCUCCAGACACCUGA